ensembl:lncRNA
AAACAUGUGGCAAGAAACCCCUUCUAGAAGAGAGGUGCCAUUCAUGAAUGAGCAGCUGACCAGGGUGCCCCCAGAGUACCCCAUCCUGUGCUCAACUCUGCUGCCACAGAAAGCAACAGCGUCAGUCUUUGCCUGGAUGCUCUGCUUCAGAAACAGCCUCCUGGGGAGGACACACACAAGAGGGGAGUUUCUCUUCAAAACAAAAGCUGGGAGAAGAUGGAAGUGUUUUUCAUGAAGACAGGAAAUAUCUUCACUACUACUUGAUGAGCGAGAUGGAAUUAUCCUAAAAGAGCAGGUCCAUGGGGGGCUGUUAACUCUGGACUCACUCCAGGCUGCCAGCUUCAUCCUAGAUGGCUCCUUCCGACAGACGGACAAGGAGCACAAUGGACUAUCCUGGAAUGAAAAGCCGUACUGUGAGACGUGGCCGAAUCACGGCAUCACAUCACAUAGGACAGUCCUGUGUAGCCAGUGACUUCAUAUGCACCUUUUCCUUACGGCCGAGGGGAACAAUAGCAGAAGCAGCGGCCACAUGGAUAUCCAAUGCAGCAGCUAUUGAGCAGCAACUAUCUUCUUCCACCACAUUGACAAACUUCCCAAGCCUGUGGAUACUGACAACAGGGGCGGGAGCUGGGGGGAUUAUAAUUAUAGCUCUUCUUUCUUUUUUCCUUUCUGAAUUCUUAAGCCAGGAAAAGCCAGCAUUCUAAAUCAGAUGGUGCACAGGUUAAGGACCUAUUCUCUUGAAAUACAAUUCAUCUGGUUGGGAGUGUGUGGGAAUAGUCUGGGUAGAAUACUACUGGCUGGCAUCAGAGAUAAGAGGGAUCUCCUUUCCACCAUUAUAAGCUUCUAAACACUCCAGGAUGUGAUGCAGGGGAAAUGGCCUCUUUCUUUUGGGGACUUUCAGCCUCGGGAUGCCACACCUGAGAUGACAGAUACUUUAAUUAAAUGAGAAGAUGAUUAGCUGCUAAAGAUAUUGCAUUUAUUUAUUAAAAGUAAUCAUGUUCAAUGAGAAAUAUUUGGGAUCACAUCAACAAACUUCCUUGGGUCAAGGUCAUCCUUUUGAUGAUAAAUAUUCUCACAGUAAAGAGCUGAGGUGGAAUCACAGAAUCAUGGAAUUUCUUAGCCGUGAAUUAUCUAUCUUGAUAUUAAACUAUUUGAUAAUUUUUUAAACCCUGUGGACAAGCUUGCAUUUUUUUCCCUCUUUUUGUUCAGUUCAGUUCAAUUCAGUCACUCAGUCGUGUCCACCUCUUUGUGACCCCAUGGACUACAGCACGCCAAGCUUCCCUGUCCAUCACCAACUCCAGAGUUUACUCAAACUCAUGUCCAUUGACUCAGUGAU